GGUACCGCAGCAUGUCCCCGAUUGCAUACAACUUGCACUCUACCCUUGGUCCUAAGCAGUGAUCGCAUGUGCUAGGAGAGCAACAGAUCAGCAUACCUAGCUGGCACCCAUUCCAUGCAUUUCGAGGUGGGAGAUACUCUGGAAGGCAUCGAUAGCGUAAUGGGCAGGGAUGAAGGACUUUUGGCCAGCAAACAAUACAAGAUUCAUCAGCUGAGGAGAAGGGCCAGUAGUUCUGCUCCUGACACUCUCCAUUGCUCCAGGGCUGAUCACCAGAGAUGACAAUCUGUCACAAGACAAAAAUAAAACUGUUAUAGAGAAAUUUUAAAAAGUCUGAGCUAUCACAGGAGAAUAAUCAGCAGAGUUUGGGUUUGAAAGUUGACUUCUUUAUUACUUCUCAUAACACAAGAACUAGGGGUCACCGAAUGAAUAGGCAGCAAGUUUAAAACAAACAAAAG